AUUGAACGCUGGCGGAAUGCUUUACACAUGCAAGUCGAACGGCAGCACGGACUUCGGUCUGGUGGCGAGUGGCGAACGGGUGAGUAAUGUAUCGGAACGUGCCCAGUCGUGGGGGAUAACGUCUUGAAAAUUACGCUAAUACCGCAUACGAUCUAUGGAUGAAAGCGGGGGAUCGCAAGACCUCGCGCGAUUGGAGCCGCCGAUAUCAGAUUAGGUAGUUGGUGGGGUAAAGGCCCACCAAGCCAACGAUCUGUAGCUGGUCUGAGAGGACGACCAGCCACACUGGAACUGAGACACGGUCCAGACUCCUACGGGAGGCAGCAGUGGGGAAUUUUGGACAAUGGGCGAAAGCCUGAUCCAGCCAUUCCGCGUGCAGGAUGAAGGCCCUCGGGUUGUAAACUGCUUUUGUACAGAACGAAAAGGUUUCUACUAAUACUAGGAGCUCAUGACGGUACUGUAAGAAUAAGCACGGGCUAACUACGUGCCAGCCGCCGCGGUAA
rnacentral:rRNA from 1 species